UUGCUUCCGCAGCAUGCAUACUAAGAUUGGAACAAUGUGGAGAUUAGCAUGGCCCCUGUGCAAGGAUGACACACAAAUUUGUGAAGCAUUCCAGAUUUUU
ensembl:snRNA U6 U6 spliceosomal RNA